rnacentral:rRNA from 1 species
UACGGAGGAUGCGAGCGUUAUCCGGAUUUAUUGGGUUUAAAGGGUGCGUAGGCGGAAUAUCAAGUCAGCGGUAAAAUUUGGAGGCUCAACCUCCACGAGCCGUUGAAACUGGCGGUCUUGAGUGGGCGAGAAGUAUGCGGAAUGCGUGGUGUAGCGGUGAAAUGCAUAGAUAUCACGCAGAACCCCGAUUGCGAAGGCAGCAUACCGGCGCGCAACUGACGCUCAUGCACGAAAGCGUGGGUAUCGAACAGG